rnacentral:lncRNA from 1 species
CAGAGUGCGGUGGCGCCAGCACAGAACUCUGCUCAAUGUCCCUCUGUGCUUUCACGAUGCUGAUGGAUUAUGAAGGACCUGAAAGGGUUUUGUCUAUCAGCUGCACCCCUGGGUAGCGACACAACCUUGGGGAAGGCCUCAGCCCCAUCCCUCGUACAGCAGGAAUGAGAACAGCACUGCCUGUUGGGAAGCUUGAGGGAGGCUAUGGACGUGCAGCGCUUGGCAGAGGGUCUCGUCAUGGAAGGUUCCAGCAAAUGUGAGAUACUUUUCUGAUUUCAUUUUCUCCAAAAGAAAGGGAAUAAAAGAAGAGGGGAG